ensembl:miRNA
UUAACCAAGACUGCGCUGGGAGCUGCUCUUUAAAAGGCUGUUAAAUGGCGAUCCUAUAUUUUGUAACAUCAGCAUCACUUAGAAACCUUUUAGAGAACAGUCCUCUUCCCCCACAAC